AACGAACGCUGGCGGCAUGCCUAACACAUGCAAGUCGAACGAGACCUUCGGGUCUAGUGGCGCACGGGUGCGUAACGCGUGGGAAUCUGCCCCAGGGUGCGGAAUAACUCGGAGAAAUCCGUGCUAAUACCGCAUAAUGUCUUCGGACCAAAGAUUUAUCGCCCUGGGAUGAGCCCGCGUAGGAUUAGCUAGUUGGUGGGGUAAAGGCCUACCAAGGCGACGAUCCUUAGCUGGUCUGAGAGGAUGAUCAGCCACACUGGGACUGAGACACGGCCCAGACUCCUACGGGAGGCAGCAGUGGGGAAUAUUGGACAAUGGGCGAAAGCCUGAUCCAGCAAUGCCGCGUGAGUGAUGAAGGCCCUAGGGUUGUAAAGCUCUUUUACCCGGGAUGAUAAUGACAGUACCGGGAGAAUAAGCUCCGGCUAACUCCGUG
rnacentral:rRNA from 1 species